rnacentral:rRNA from 1 species
UACAGAGGGUGCGAGCGUUAAUCGGAAUUACUGGGCGUAAAGCGCGCGUAGGCGGUUAUUUAAGUCAGAUGUGAAAUCCCAGGGCUCAACCUUGGAACUGCAUCUGAUACUGGGUAACUAGAGUUUGGGAGAGGGAAGUAGAAUUUCAGGUGUAGCGGUGAAAUGCAUAGAGAUCUGAAGGAAUACCAGUGGCGAAGGCGACUUCCUGGCCUAAAACUGACGCUGAGGUGCGAAAGCGUGGGUAGCAAACGGG